rnacentral:rRNA from 1 species
AACGAACGCUGGCGGCAGGCUUAACACAUGCAAGUCGAGCGCCCCGCAGGGGGAGCGGCAGACGGGUGAGUAACGCGUGGGAAUCUACCCAUCUCUACGGAAUAACGCAUGGAAACGUGUGCUAAUACCGUAUACGUCCUGCGGGAGAAAGAUUUAUCGGAAAUGGAUGAGCCCGUGUUGGAUUAGCUAGUUGGUGGGGUAAAGGCCUACCAAGGCGACGAUCCAUAGCUGGUCUGAGAGGAUGAUCAGCCACACUGGGACUGAGACACGGCGCAGACUCCUACGGGAGGCAGCAGUGGGGAAUAUUGGACAAUGGGCGCAAGCCUGAUCCAGCCAUGCCGCGUGAGUGAUGAAGGCCCUAGGGUUGUAAAGCUCUUUCACCGGUGAAGAUAAUGACGGUAACCGGAGAAGAAGCCCCGGCUAACUUCGUGCCAGCAGCCGCCGUAACAC